ensembl:lncRNA ATP1A1-AS1 ATP1A1 antisense RNA 1
ACCUGAGCGGCGCAUCCUCAGGGCCUGGGCCUGGCCUCCUUGCCUGUGAGAUGGCACUGUGACGGUGCCCACCUCGUGGGGUGUGUGAGGGCCGAGUGAAAUCGUGCAUUUGCGGAAAUGCCCAUGACCUUCAUCGCAGCAGCGUAUGUGCGUUGGUCUUCUCCAGGGAUGCCGAAAGUAGACAUACAGGGAGUCGCAGUACGGAUACCACCAGUGCCAGCCUGACCUCACAAGAGACGUCUUGUGUGACUGGCCCUGCCGUCACAGCUGGGCCAGUAAAGUACCUUCCAGGAGGCUCCAGUUGCUACCUGACUCACAACCUUCUAAUCCCAUGAUCUUUUAGUUCUAGUUUCCUUAUCUUGGUCUGAGCAAAUGGCUCAUUUUAAAGAUGACUUGCAGACAAAUGUAGAGAUCAUCCCAGGGGAAAGUGCCCCAAGAAAGGAGAGUCCAAGACCACCUGCCCCUCCCAGUUCUGCGGCUGGAGUGGGUGGGUGCAGCAACCACAGCCCCAGUGUACAGGAGUCACCACUGUCUCCUCCCGCAUUGGCCCAGCUUGGAAGUGCACAGCAACCAAGCAUGAGGACUGAGUUAAGCUUUUCGGAGAAAAAAGACACUAUGAUCAUCUGGCAGAUCACGAUCACUGUUUGGUGCCAGAGCUUGCCCUCGCCCUCCGUGUACCCAUCGAUCUUCAGACCUGGUACUUGUUGGUGGAGUUGAAGGGUAUCUCGACGAUUUUGGCGUAUCUUUCUCUCAUCUCCUUCACGGAACCACAGCACAGCUCUAUGCACUUUAAGAGUGCUGACUCAGAGGCAUCUCCUGCAACUGCCCGCUGUGAACAGAGACAUCAUCUGUAAAUUAUCUCCAAAAAAUUUCACUGAGGCAUCACUAAAAAACAGGAAAAAUAACUCAAGACACAUUCCAAUCUUGUCAGAGGUAGCAGAGGAUGGGCAAGAAGGAAGCAGCGGUGUUAAGUGGGACAGGAGUCCCUCUAGCCCCGACCACUGCUGUUCACAGUGCUUCAGACUCAAACCCCAACGUCCUUCCCCACCCCACAGCAGCUUCUAGUGAAAGAAGGGUGUGGGAAGGUGUCACCUUCCCUAGAAGAGGUAUUAACACACCCUUCCAACCUACUGCAGUCUAUUUCUAUCUUCCCCUGGCCUACUGAAAAGUCUCAAAGCCAAUGCUAUUCCCAACUACCUACUUCUGGUUACUUAUCUGAAAAUACCAAGUGAGAGAUUAAACAUUUAUAGCACCUUUCAUUACCGUAGAAUUCGUAAGAAAAUGCUUAAGGUCUCAGGACUGGGGACAAGCUGCCUGUGUCAAGGGCAAAGUAGAAGACUGUGCAUUCUAAUCAUAACUGUGCAAAAUUAACUGGGCCUGAAGGAUGUGAACUGAAAGCUAUUACCAACUCCAACAGUAAUAAAAUCGAACCACGUAACAUUUUAGUUAAAGCCCAUGCUUCAGUGACACACAUAUUUUCUAUGAUACAUGAUGACACACUUAUAUUUUGACAUACUGAAAGCAUUUUCAGUUGUAAACAAAUUUUAUAUAGGUAAACCUUUUAGAACCUUAACAUGUAAGGCUGCAUAUGCAGAUGAACAGAUCAAUGCUCAGAAGUAUAGCAGCUCCACAGAGCAAGAAAGUUGGCUGGGUUUGGAAAGAAACACAAAAUAAGUGGGGGACAUUUUAAAUAAAAGCCACUUAUUUUAAUAAAAGCCAUUUUUAAUAAAAGCAGAAUAGGGCUGCUUCUCCCUCCCCGCUUUUUAGUAAUAAUGCCAUCAACAUGGCCGAACUCCAGAAAUACUUGGAAUACAGCUUCUGCUACCUUUCUGGGGUUUUUUAAUCAGGAAAGAUUUGAUACUUGUGGGACCUGAUGCUCAAAGCCUAGAACAUUUCCACUUUGAGGUAAAGAAAAACAUGAAACAUUUAUCUCAAGUUUUAUCCUCAAGAUACACAACAUUAUCCUCAAAUCAACAUCAAUUCAAUGCCAAGAAAAUCUCCUUUGCAGAAUAAAUGAACCCUAUCCUCAUCACAGAAGGCAUCUGAGUUACAUCCAAGCCAUAUUCCCUUUGGCAACUUAGUUUAUACCCACAACUACUACAGGCAGCUUCACAGAGAAUGUGGGACCCAGAGAGCCUCACAUAGCUUUCUUCUCCUACAGGACUUUGUACAAUUCAUGAUCCUUCUGAGACUGCAUCUUCACUUGGGCAGCAUAGUAAAAUCUCAAUCAUUUCAAACUGCAUCAGAAUUCCACAGGCUAAGGCUGGGCUUAUUUUGGCCUGGAGCUUAUUUUUACAUCAUUAGUAAACAAGCUAAGAACCAAUAAGAUAAGAUAAGCUGAGCUAUUUCAGGAAAAUAAAUGGCUUAAAGGAGUUACUGGAAUCUACUGUAUCCUAAUAUGCAAAUACGAUUAUGGAGUCACUGCAGCCCUCAGCUCUCACUGUCCACUAGGUUAGGUGAUAACAUAUAAACUCAAGAGUAGUAAAAGCAGAUGAAUUAGGUUUUUCACCAAUAAAGACUGUCUUCCGUCUCCUCCCCUCCCACUUUGGUCAGAUUUUUACUGCAUCUUCCCUUUUUAAUCAACCUAUAUGGAGCAGGGGGUCCUAUAAUACAUCAGGAUCUACAGGCAACACAAUGUAAGUUACACACAGCAAAGUACUGCACAGACCACUCCAGGUGUUCUACAGUGAACAGUCACACAGACCACAAAGGUAAUUUGCUACUUUUAACACUCAAAUGGCAGUUCUCAUGUGCUGUCUACAUCCCUCCAUUAGUUAACUCUUGAGCAUACCUUAAGAAUAGGUAGGUUUUCCUGGUUAGCCUGAAACACUGCCCUGUUACAAAGACCUGCAAUUCUGGACAGAGCAAGCCAGGUAGCUGAAGUCUUGUCAAAAGAGACACCUGAUGGAGGCAAGAAAACACAACAGAACAACAAUGCAUUAACUUCAAAGGCUGUGUUCUCAGUUCUCCUAUUAAAGUCCCAUAGAAAUCUGCAGUGAUACAUCUCAUUUCCCAAUUAAUGAAACCAAUCACAUUUUAGGCAUUCUUCAGUCACGUUUGUAGGGCAAUUUAAAGUUUCUACUGACAUGCAAAAAAUCAAUAUCCCAUACCCUUGACUCUUC